CCUACGGGAGGCAGCAGUGAGGAAUAUUGGUCAAUGGGCGGGAGCCUGAACCAGCCAAGUCGCGUGAGGGAAGACGGUCCUAUGGAUUGUAAACCUCUUUAGGCGGGGAGCAAUGCCGGGCACGCGUGCCCGGAGGGAGAGUACCCGCAGAAUAAGCAUCGGCUAACUCCGUGCCAGCAGCCGCGGUAAUACGGAGGAUGCGAGCGUUAUCCGGGUUUUUUGGGUUUAAAGGGUGCGUAGGCGGAUUUUUAAGUCAGCGGUAAAAUGUCCGGGCUCAACCCGGGCCGGCCGUUGAUACUGGGGAUCUUGAGUGGGCGAGAAGUAUGCGGAAUGCGUGGUGUAGCGGUGAAAUGCAUAGAUAUCACGAAGAACUCCGAUUGCGAAGGCAGCAUACCGGCGCCCGACUGACGCUGAGGCACGAAAGCGUGGGGAUCGAACAGGAUUAGAUACCCUGGUAGUC
rnacentral:rRNA from 1 species